rnacentral:snoRNA from 1 species
CCCAGCUGUAUGCAACUGCUUAGAUUGCCUGGUACCUACAUAAGUGUUAAACUGCUGGGAGAAAAGCAACCAACAGCUGGCAGGCAUGUUGUGCCUGGUUAAUGCCAAAUCUGUGUUAACUCUACCGGUGUACAAA